rnacentral:rRNA from 1 species
GAGCGAGCUUGCCUAGAUGAAUUUGGUGCUUGCACCAAAUGAAACUAGAUACAAGCGAGCGGCGGACGGGUGAGUAACACGUGGGUAACCUGCCCAAGAGACUGGGAUAACACCUGGAAACAGAUGCUAAUACCGGAUAACAACACUAGACGCAUGUCUAGAGUUUAAAAGAUGGUUCUGCUAUCACUCUUGGAUGGACCUGCGGUGCAUUAGCUAGUUGGUAAGGUAACGGCUUACCAAGGCAAUGAUGCAUAGCCGAGUUGAGAGACUGAUCGGCCACAUUGGGACUGAGACACGGCCCAAACUCCUACGGGAGGCAGCAGUAGGGAAUCUUCCACAAUGGACGCAAGUCUGAUGGAGCAACGCCGCGUGAGUGAAGAAGGGUUUCGGCUCGUAAAGCUCUGUUGGUAGUGAAGAAAGAUAGAGGUAGUAACUGGCCUUUAUUUGACGGUAAUUACUUAGAAAGUCACGGCUAACUACGUGCCAGCAGCCGCGGUAAUACGUAGGUGGCAAGCGUUGUCCGGAUUUAUUGGGCGUAAAGCGAGUGCAGGCGGUUCAAUAAGUCUGAUGUGAAAGCCUUCGGCUCAACCGGAGAAUUGCAUCAGAAACUGUUGAACUUGAGUGCAGAAGAGGAGAGUGGAACUCCAUGUGUAGCGGUGGAAUGCGUAGAUAUAUGGAAGAACACCAGUGGCGAAGGCGGCUCUCUGGUCUGCAACUGACGCUGAGGCUCGAAAGCAUGGGUAGCGAACAGGAUUAGAUACCCUGGUAGUCCAUGCCGUAAACGAUGAGUGCUAAGUGUUGGGAGGUUUCCGCCUCUCAGUGCUGCAGCUAACGCAUUAAGCACUCCGCCUGGGGAGUACGACCGCAAGGUUGAAACUCAAAG